UGGGUUUAAUUUGCUCUUCAUUUUCUAGUUUCUUAAGGUAGUUUCUUAAAUUUCAAAGGUCUUUUUUUCUCUUUUGUUGUUGCUGUUUCGGAGAGUAAAUCUAGUUUGUGUAUCCCAUCAUGCAUGAAAACAGAAGUCAGAUUUAGUUAAUGGUAAUUAGCUCUUCAUCAAAGUUUUAUUGAUCAUAGAACCUAGAUCUUUCCUUCUGUGUGUUGUUUAGGUCUCCAGAUUCCAGAUCUGCCAUUUGAUACCAGUAUUGUCAACUAGGCAUCAGACCAGUAAAUUGGGGUUUUUUGCUUGUUUUUCAUUUGUUUCUCCGGACAAAAUUAGAAUUAAUGGUUGUUUUUCACUGAAAAACCUCUCCUUUUUAUAUAUUAUGGCCUUUCUUUGUAUUUUGUGAUCUUAGAGCUCAAAGUAUUUCUGAGGAUUGAGGAAAAUAACAGCAUGCUUGAUAAUUCAAGUGAAUAAAUUAUGUUUUUUAAAUUCCAAGGAUCUAAUGACACUCUAGGGUUUAUCCACAUGUACUCUGGGGAAUAAGCCAUGGAUUCCAUAGCUUAAUGGAAUAACAAGUGAUGGUAUCUAGGGUUCUGAGUACCCAGUUUCAGCUGAACUCUGAAAUGUGGACUAUUCUCUUGGGAUAGCCUUAGAACUCAGAGGAAACCAAGAGGAUGGAUGGAUCCUGCUAAAUCUAAAGCUGGAGUCUGUGAUGCAUUUAAGAUACAUCCAGGGCAGGAGUUCCUGUCUUGGCUCAGAGGUAAAGAACCUGACUAGUAUCCAUGAGGACACAGUUUCGAUCCCUGGCCUCACUCAGUGGGUUAUGCAAGGAUCCGGCUUUGCCAUGAGCUGUGGUGGAGGUCACAGACACAGCUCAGAUCCGCGUUUCUGUGGCUGUGGGGUAGGCCACCAGCUGCAGCUCCAAUUUGACCCCUAGUCUGGGAACUUCCAUAUGCCACGGGUACAGCCCUAAAAAACAAACAAGAUGUAUCCAAAAAUUCUGCAAUAUUCUCCCCUACAAGACUCUCCCUUCCAUUGAGUGUUGGCUGGACUUCGUGAAUUGCUUCUAACAAACUGAAUAUGACAUAAUUGACAAGUCCAUUCAAGAUUAGGCCAUAAAAGACUUUGCAAUUGCAGUUUCUAAGUUAGUCUCUUUCAGAUCGCUCAUUCUGGGGGGAAACCAGCUACCAUGUUAUGGGGAAAGAUCCACUCAACAAGGACCUGAGCCAGCAGCCGUGUGAGUGAGAUAUCUUGGAAGCAGAUCCUCAGCUCCAUUUAAGGCUUCAAAUGACAUCUCAACGGUAGCAUCAUAAGAGAUGCCAAGCCAGAUUCGCCCUGCUAAGCUGUUCCAGAAUUCUGACCUUUAGAAACUGGCUUAAAUAAUAAAUGUUGCUUUAACCGCUAAUUUUAAGGUGAUAUGUUAUGCAGCAAUAGACAGCUAAUACAGAUUCAUCGUGAAAUUGUUUCUGAGACUUGAGAUAAAUAAGAGUGGAUUUCUAGAACUCAGAUGGUACCAAGGUAAACUUCUUAGCAAGACUCUCUAAGGAGCUCUCAGAAUAUUGAUGGAAAAGCUAUGACAGGUUUGGAGGGUCCAGGGACAACGGGGGAAAGACACUUCAGUGAUGCAGAGUUCUUUGAUAAGUGAUUCUGUAGUUCUAGGGAAGUGCUGGAGUUUUUUUUUUUAUUUUAAAUAGUGAUAAAAGAGCUACACAGAUUUUAGAGAGUUUAAGAGAUAAAAAGCAAAGAUUCUGGAGCUCAAAAGAUGGAGAACUCUUUUUCGGUGUGAUGAAAAACAGGAGUUUUUUUCCACUUUCUCAUCUUUAACAUUAUCAUAUUCAGAAACUGUAGAAAUUUAGAUAAACAAAAAGAAGAAAAUUAAAAUUACCAUAUGGAAACAAUCUGUUAACAUUUUUAGUUUGUUAAUCUAACAAAUUAAUAAAUAUAGACACGCAGAUAAACAAACUUAAUCUGUACUUCAAUUGGCCCUUUAGGAGGUCAUUUUGGCAUUCUUUGAGCCUGGCUGCAUCUGAAUGAUGUGUCAUGUGAUAUGACCAGUGGAAUCCACGGUCAUAGGUUCAUACCUGCACCUUUGCCCUAAAGUAAAUCACCUGAACAGGUAUCAUGCUGUUUGGGACCCUAUGCCUCUGGCUCAAGCAUUUCAAAAGCCUCUAGAUUCUGGUCCUGGCUGAAGCUCUAUUAGUAGGAAAGGAAAAUUCAUUCCUGGAUUAGGUAUUCUCUUUGUAAGAGGGACCCACUAGCGCUUUAAGAAUAGGAGCGUUCCAAUGUCCGGGGUGAUUUCUUUGAGGAAUAAUAUUACAUUGGAGGCAUAGUGUUGGUCUCUGUUGCUGACGCAUUAGACAUUCAGAGGCACUGGUAACUAGAUUGUUAAACAUGAGCUCGUGCUGAUAGCACCAUAUGUAGCCUCCACCUGCCACAUGACUAUUCCAUUGAUGUGGCCAUCAUAUCACUCUGGGAUUGCUGCUGGUGAUGUCUGAUCCACAUCAACUGCUUGAGCCAGUUUGUCUACAGGUUGUUUAGCGUCUGGUGCCUGCUUUCUGAUGGUAUUGACAUGUGAUACAAAAAUCUCCACACUCGUGGAGUUCUCUUGAGGUUCAGUGGGUUAAUGGUCUGGUGUUGUCACUGCAGCAGCUUGGUCGCUGCUGUGGUGCAGUUUUGAUCUCUGGCCAGGGAACUUCUGCAUGCUGUAGGUGCAGCUAAGCCCCCCACUCCCACCCCCCAAAACCCAAACAAACAGAUCUUCACACUUGUCCUCCUCCCGCAUUUUUAUAACAGUCUUCUGCCCAGAACUCUUUGUCUCUGGUUUUCCAUGUUUCUCCUUCCAGGCCUCCAACAAAACAGCCAAGUCAUUGCCCACAACUCACGAAUCUAUACGUAUUCUUGUUUCAGGCCAUUUCUCCUUCCAUCAGAGAGAUAACCAGGUACUCUGUUCCCAGCUCUGUCAUUUGGGAAGAUAUGCCUUCUCCACUGUCUUCCUGGACCAACUCUGAAUGUGGCUAUAAUGCAGCCAACCAUUUCUAGCCUGUAUAUACUCAAUGAGUUGACCCAUCUAUAAACCAGUCUUGGGCUUUUCACUCAGCUUUACCUGUUCAUCUGGAACCCUUCACUAGGCCAUGGGUACAAGCCAUGGGAGGAGAACUGGUGUAACAUGAGGGUCUGAGACAUUUGCUCAUACUGCUUAUUUGUGCCCUCUGAUCCUGCCUGAACUUGAGUCUGGAUAUUCUAUUUCCAUCUUACAGAGGAUUGCUACUAAGCAAUCUUUAAAAAAAAAUUUUUUUUGCCUUUUCUAGGGCUGCACCCGUGGCAUAUGGAGGUUCCCAGGCUAUGGGUCAAGUCAGAGCUGUAGCCGCCGGCCUACGCCACAGCCACAGAACGUGGGAUCUGAGCCACAUCUCUGACCUACACCACAGCUCAUGGCAACGCCAGAUCCUUAACCCACUGAGCAAGGCCAGGGAUCGAACCCACAACCUCAUGGUUCCUAGUUGGAUUCGUUAACCACUGAGCCAUGAUGGGAACUCCCCCAUCCAGCGCUUUGACUUGGUGUAAUUGACAGAACAUAGCUUUGAGGGGAAAUUCUAGAUGCAUAAGUCCUUUGACGUUCCAUAGUCAAGCAUUCUGCCUUUCCAAAGUAACUUGCCCUCUGCAACUUGCCAAGAACUGUUUUGCAAAUGAUAUGUAAUUCUCUGCUGUGGAUAGCAUGACCUUUCUCCAAAAUCUCAGGGGCCAACCAUGUGAUUCUCCUGCUGGGGUUUUCCAAAGGCCCUUACUGCAUUUUUUUGAUACCACUACCACCUCCAACACCAUAGGGCCUGCUGGAUCAUAUGACCCAUGUGGCAGGGCUGAUGGUGCCACAGUUUGGGCCUGCUGGAGUAUAUUCUUCUGCUCUGAGCCCCCUCAAAACUGACAUCCCUCCAUGCCAUCCAACAUUUGGGCAGGAGCAAUAUGUUGCCUCCAGAACCCAAAGAGACUUCCAGUCUCUAUGCUUCCAUCUUCAUGGUGAUGGUGAAAGAUGUUACAAUUUGUAUUUCACUUUGAAGGGAUUGUUCUGGUAGCCCUUUACCACUGGACUCCUAAAAACGGAAUUGACUGGUCUCUGAAUCUUCGUGGAAUUUCUCUCCCAACUCUGGAAUGCGUGUGUCUCACCAAGGCACCCGGCUACCUCCGCCUGACCACAAGACACCCAAUACGCAGUGAGUUGCCCAUUUUAACUGGCAGUGGUCUGAGCCACAAAACUGUGAAUUUGGUGAGCCAAGCAUUCCAUCACCAAGGAGAAAUGGCAUGUUCGAUAUCAGACUGGGGGUUCCUGUUGUGGCUCAGGGGAUAACAAACCUGACUAGUAUCCAUGAGGACGCAGGUUCAAUCCCUGGCUUUGUUCAGUGGGUUAAGGAUCUUGCGUUGCCACAAGCUGCAGCAUAGGUCACAGAUGUGGCUCAGAUCUGGUGUUGCUGUGGCUGUGGCUCUGGUGUAGGCAGGCAGCUCUGGC
rnacentral:lncRNA from 1 species